UCUUUGCUAGUAUAUCGGUUAGUACACGCGCUUGUCAUGAAUCUUCUGUAUGUUCUCAUGCGCGCGAAAGCUGGGUUCGACUCCCAGGCAGAGAG